ACCUGGCUGGCUCAGCCGGUAGAGCAUGUGACUCUCGAUCUUGGGGUUGUAGCUUCGAGCCCCACGUUGGGUG
rnacentral:tRNA from 1 species